UUUUUUAUAUUUUUAGUAGAAACGGGGUUUCACUAUGUUGGCCAGGCUGGUCUUGAACUCCUGACCUUGUGAUCCGCCCGCCUCAGCCUCCCAAAGUGCUGGGACUACAGACGUAAGCCACCAGGCCCGUCCUGUUUUUUUGUUUUUGAGAUGGAGACUUGCUUUGUCGCCUAGGCUGGAGUGCAAUGGUGCGAUCUCGGCUCACUGCAACCUCCGCCUCCCAGGUUCACACGAUUCUUAUGCCUCAGCCCCCCGAUUACAGGCACCCACCACCAUGCCCGGCUAAUUUUUGUAUUUUUGGUAGAGACGGGGUUUCACCAUGUUGGCCAGGCUGGUUUUGAACUCUUGACCUCAGGUGAUCUGCCCUCCUCGGCCUCCCAAAGUGUUGGGAUUACAGGCGUGAGCCACUGCACCCGGCCACAAAUGAGUGUUUUCUGACACAUUUAUCAGUUGGUUUGGAGGUCAUAGGGUUUUCCUGGGUUGAAGCACUGGACAGACAAACUUCAGCAGAGCUGGAUGGGCCUGGGUACUGCGUGGCUCUAAGUGGCUGAGAGGUGUCUGGGAUCAGGGAGCCGCAGAUCUAUUUCUCUGACUUCACUGCGAUGCCCAGAAUCUGACUUUAACCCCUUGUUCCUGUCUCUGGCCCCUGCAAGACUGGCUGGCCUGGCAAUGGCCAAUGCUUUGACAUCCUUCCCUCCACUCUGGCAAUCGAGGGCUAGAGACUUGGGCUGGGGAUGGAUGCUUCCAGAGUGUGGUCUCUAGUGAGAUAUCCGGCCUUAUCCUUGUCACAGGGCUUCUUCCCGUGGGGGUCAGCAGGCAGGUAGCAGUCUCUUAUUGAAAGGCAUAUGGGGCUCAGGAUGGUGAGCACAUUACCCAGGGUCACAGCUAAAAAGAGGCACAGCAGCUCCCCCAGGGCCACAGGUUCAGCUUCUCCAAAGAAGGCCUGCCCCUCUGAAACCCCUGACCCCAAUCCUUUCUCAAGUCGUUCUUUCCAGGGUAGCCUUAGCUCCGUCAUGAGUUCCUGGGGUAUUUUCUCCACUGAAUCCUAAGCCCUGGCUGGGCGAUGCUCCAGUGACCCCACAGGGCCUCUCCCCUCUUCCCUUGCCACCAGCAGCUCCACCAUGAACAGCUGAGUCCCACUACUGUCUGUCCAGCCUCUCCACUGUGGCAAGUUCUGUCACCCCCACCCCACUCUCAGCAGGCCUGGGAUGUCCUUCCCCUUUCGCCAUCUCAGUCGAUUGAAACCUAGCCUGUUGACAAGGCCACCUCCUCCCUGCAGCCUUCCUGACCUGUCCAUCCUGAAGGCUCUGCGUGUCGGUGUCUUUGGAUCCCUUAGCCUUGUCCCCUGGAUACACAAGCUCUUUCCCUGCCAGGUGUGGGCUGCUAGAAAAAGCAAGCUUUUGCCCAUACUCUGAAUAAAAGUUUGUCCAAAUCAA
rnacentral:lncRNA from 1 species